AGCACAUGCUGCCUGCUGACACUAUGGAAGUCUGUGGUGACAGUCCCUGAAAUUCCUGUAUCAGUCAAGAGUGAUGAUGAGGUAGUUAGAUGGUAACUGUACUUGAGACUUGUAAUGAACAAACUGCAAGAAAAAUCAGUGAUUCAAAGCAGAAGACAAGACUCUCUACAGCUGAGGUUCCUCUUUCUACUCUCGAGCCCCAAGGCAGUAUCAUAAGAGACAGUAACAUGGUGGCUUCUGAGUGAGAUUUGUGUAUCUGAAUUGCAAAGUGAAGAUCCUAAAGAAGCAGUGGAGUGGAAGGACCGUUGUUGGGAUGGGAUGAUGAGAGAGCUGUCUACAGGACUGACUCACUAAUGCGCGCAUGGACUUUACCAGAAGUUUCACCUCUCAAAUACUGUAAUAGUAGGUUGUAUUUGGGGGGCAGCUCGUGCAAGAACAAGGUUUAUGGGUGCUGGACUAAUGAAGAAAGGGAGAAAAUGGGAAAUCCAAACUCCUAGCCUGGAAGACAGUCUGAACAACCAGUACAAUAGGAAGGCACAAUCCAGAAAGACACGGUGGCAGCACAGUCCGUCCAAUUUUCAAUGGAUGUAAAUAAUCCCUGUUACAGGAAGUGUGGAGUCUUCCAGAUGUUUCAUCUCUAGUUUUCUCCAGAGGUAUUCUUCAAAGACCUGGAAACUUGAGGCUGAAUCUGCAGGGUGAAGUGAGAUCCCUCCUGGUGGUUUGCCUAGGGAAUGACGUGCCCCUGGCAGAAGCGAAGGUGAAGGUAUGUACCUAGAUUUCAUCUGGAGCAGACCAGGUUCCUCAUAUGGAUCAGUGAUGGGAGGCAUGCCUGGAUCCUACAGUGUGAAUGCCACUCUGAGCAGCUUGAGAAACACUGACUCUCAGUCCUUCUUUGUGGCUGAUGUAGCAAUUGCUUCUGUGCCUGUCAAUCAGUCCCUCACAUGCUUGUGACUUCUCAGAAAAGGCAUCUUCUCUGGUAUUCUUGAUGCACAGAAGAAAAUAAGAAGAAAAUAAAAAAUCCAUUGAAACUAGCAAGUAUAUACUUUUAAUGACAUGGCAGGAUACCAGGAUCUGAAAUACCAUUUUUCUUCAUCAAGAUCCCAGACUGGUUGAAAAAGUGAAUAAUUUAAUAAUUUAGAAUGUGAGUGAUUUUUUUGUGAGUGAUUUUUUUUGUGUGAUUUUGAAUGUGAGUGAACUUUUUUGACAUUCUAGCUUUGUCUAAUAUUGAAAGUGAAUUAGGGAAAAACUCCAAUUGACUUCAAUUAGGCCAAUGCUGAUCAGUUUUGAAAAUCUCAUGUGAAGGUCCCUGGGGCAGCGACUCUGUCAUGCUCUGACUCCAUGCCUUCCCAGCAUUGCUCUGACAUUGCUUGAAUGCAUUCAGUGUUGUGCAAUGUGUUUUUACAUAUCUUUGGCAGUCUCUCUUUUCAUUAAGUCUGGAAAUCAGGGGCAGAGGAGGCAGAUACGCAGUUGUUCAAGGCUGGGACUAUGCUUCCUUUUGUCCUGCUCAUUAACUUCAAUUUAGGCAGUUAAGUGCUGCUAUAACCAACCAAACAAACUCUUAAGACUUUAGUUUCGUAGCACAUUUAAAUUAACAAAUAAACCCUUCCUGGUAAACGAGGGCAGUCUCCACAUAAAACAGAAUAUAUAAAGGAGCAGGAGGUACUGCUGCAGCAUCAGCAGGACUUAGACACCCCCUCCAGCUCAUACAGUCCUAGGGAGCUCAGAGGUAGUCACGAGGACUUUGCAAGUUUUUACAGACAACUGCAGGACUUUAAAGUCAAGUGAAGGUUUCCCACUCCCACUGAGCUGCAGAAGCUAAAUAUAUCCUUCCUGUUUACUCUGUGUGAUUUUAGACUAAGCUCCAGUCUAUGAAACAAAAUGCAUCUCUGGCGUCCAAGCCCAAGAAGGAGCAGCACAGCUCUGGUUAGUAAUACAGCGUCGUCUGACCAUCCACCUCUGCCAAAGCUGGCAACAAAACCCGCUUCAAGCAAGUUCAGGGGACAGCUGGUGAUAUCUGGAUCAAAUCAGUUCUGUGGUUUAGCUCAGACCUAAGGGAUAAGGCAUAUGCUAAUGGUCUUUCUCUCCUUUUUAGGUAAGCAUUUCCAUUUGUAAUAAGCCACCAAUCUUGGAGGCUGCAGUCAGGAUUCAGAGAGAGAACCCACGGAGUGCCUAGGACAUAUUUGGCCUUGACAAAGUUUUACUUUCCAGCUUCUCCAUUUGUAGUGGAUUGACAGCUGGUUUCAAAUGUCUCAUAUUUAACUUUUCUGUUUUUCUUAAUCUGUGGAUUCUUUUCUGGAACUUCCUGUGCAUAGCAAAAACCUGUCGUGGUCCAGUGAGACCCUCUGCCUCUCACAGUGCAGAAUCAGACCCAGUAAUCAUGGCUGCUAUGCUUUAUUCCCUACCCAAAACAGGCAUCUUUUGAGAGGAAGGGUGACAGGAUGAUGAUUUCUUUUUGUAAGCAGAUGCGAGGAACAUGAAAAAAAAUUUUUAAUAGCCAAUCCAAAAAUGACUAGAGGCACUAUUUUGCAAUACAGAGUGUACGACCUAGUAAAUCCAAACCUCUCUAAUGUAACAUAGCUAUUCUUCCCUACCUCUCUUUUUGUCUGAAAAAAAAAAGGUCAAUUUUGUAUUUAAGAAACACUAUCAAAGAUUUAAAGAUUGUACCAUUGGCCAUAGUUCAAACAAUACAGGCAGGAAAGAAUGUACAGCUGUCAAGUGUAAACAGAAAUGGGUACAGCUCAGAAGUGCUUCAGACAAAUCACU
ensembl:lncRNA